UAGGGAAUCUUCGGCAAUGGACGGAAGUCUGACCGAGCAACGCCGCGUGAGUGAAGAAGGUUUUCGGAUCGUAAAGCUCUGUUGUAAGAGAAGAACGAGUGUGAGAGUGGAAAGUUCACACUGUGACGGUAUCUUACCAGAAAGGGACGGCUAACUACGUGCCAGCAGCCGCGGUAGUACGUAGGUCCCGAGCGUUGUCCGGAUUUAUUGGGCGUAAAGCGAGCGCAGGCGGUUAGAUAAGUCUGAAGUUAAAGGCUGUGGCUUAACCAUAGUAGGCUUUGGAAACUGUUUAACUUGAGUGCAAGAGGGGAGAGUGGAAUUCCAUGUGUAGCGGUGAAAUGCGUAGAUAUAUGGAGGAACACCGGUGGCGAAAGCGGCUCUCUGGCUUGUAACUGACGCUGAGGCUCGAAAGCGUGGGGAGCAAACAGGAUUAGAUACCCUGGUAGUCCACGCUGUAAACGACGAGUGCUAGGUGUUAGACCCUUUCCGGGGUUUAGUGCCGUAGCUAACGCAUUAAGCACUCCGCCUGGGGAGUACGACCGCAAGGUU
rnacentral:rRNA from 1 species